UACACUCCUGCGGGAGGCAGCAGUGGGGAAUUUUGGACAAUGGGCGAAAGCCUGAUCCAGCAAUGCCGCGUGUGUGAAGAAGGCCUUCGGGUUGUAAAGCACUUUUGUCCGGAAAGAAAUCCUUGGCUCUAAUACAGUCGGGGGAUGACGGUACCGGAAGAAUAAGCACCGGCUAACUACGUGCCAGCAGCCGCGGUAAUACGUAGGGUGCGAGCGUUAAUCGGAAUUACUGGGCGUAAAGCGUGCGCAGGCGGUUUGCUAAGACCGAUGUGAAAUCCCCGGGCUCAACCUGGGAACUGCAUUGGUGACUGGCAGGCUAGAGUAUGGCAGAGGGGGGUAGAAUUCCACGUGUAGCAGUGAAAUGCGUAGAGAUGUGGAGGAAUACCGAUGGCGAAGGCAGCCCCCUGGGCCAAUACUGACGCUCAUGCACGAAAGCGUGGGGAGCAAACAGGAUUAGAUACCCUAGUAGUCCCAUG
rnacentral:rRNA from 1 species